rnacentral:SRP_RNA from 1 species
GGCAAGGGUCCGCGCGACGAAAGUCUGUUAACCCCGUCAGGACCGGAAGGUAGCAGCGGCAUGCGGAGUCUUUCGAGCGCCGCGGGUAGCUCUGGCCUGA